rnacentral:rRNA from 1 species
UACGAGUGCCCCAAGCGUUAUCCGGAAUUAUUGGGCGUAAAGGGUGUGUAGGUGGUCUUGUUAGUCUUCUGUGAAAUUCUUCGGCUUAACCGGGGGUCCGCAGGGGAAACGGCAGGACUAGAGGAUGCGAGAGGUGUGCGGAACUCAUGGUGUAGGGGUGAAAUCCGUUGAUAUCAUGGGGAACACCAAAAGCGAAGGCAGCACACUGGCGCACUCCUGACACUGAAACACGAAAGCGUGGGUAGCGAAUGGG